rnacentral:lncRNA from 1 species
CGGUAUGGGCGCCAAAACCAUAAACCUCAAUACCCCGUCCGGUAUGAGGGUGAAACGGGCCGUCCCCAUACCCCGUCCGGUAUGGGCGCCAAAACCAUAAGAUCUCCAUACCCCGUCCGGCAUGUGAGACCACAAUCCCGGUAGGGUUCCCUACGGACCCGGUCCGUCCACCAUCUCCCAGGAUAUCUAGUCAGGCUGACCCCCAUAAUACAAUUAUCAGUCUAUACAAUCUUUCAUUUUCCUUUUCCUCAAUCAACAUCAUCAAUUCACAUUUAAACAAGCGAAUCGUAAUUCAUACCAACAGACAACAUACAAUGUCAGUUUUUCAGUCACUCAACCCAUAAUUAAUAAAAACGUAGUAUAUGCACACAAAUCUGUAAAAUGAACACAUCAAACCUCAUUUUGCAUUUAAAGCUGUAAAACAGUGUAAAACAGGCCAAAUAACAGUAAAUCAUCAAUCACACCAGACUCGGGCUCCAUUAGCAACCUUAAGCAAUUUCACACAUGCGUUAAUUCAAGAAAUACCGUUUUAUCAUUUUGAACUUUAAUACCGUGAUAGGAAAUAGGGUGAGGGGUCCUUACUUGUUUUCGGGAUCCGAAUACGAUUCACAGUGCGCCUGCAGGCCGUCCCUAAUUUUCCCUGAGUUUUUCCCGGGAAACUGAAACACACUAACCGUACCUGCACGUGUUCCAAAAAAAUCCAAAUUAGGCCCAGGGCCUCUUUCGGCCCAAAUCGCAACUCCGGCACGGCAGCUCCGCCGUGCUCCGGCGACGGCGCCGCCGCUGGCGGCGGCGAGUCGCCUCG